ACGGAGGGUGCGAGCGUUAAUCGGAAUCACUGGGCGUAAAGCGCACGUAGGCGGUGUCGUAAGUCGGAUGUGAAAGCCCUCGGCUCAACCGGGGAACUGCAUUCGAUACUGCGGUUCUUGAGUGCCGUAGGGGGUGGCGGAAUGCCAGGUGUAGCGGUGAAAUGCUUAGAUAUGAGUAAGAACACCGGUGGCGAAGGCAGCUACCUGGGUGGUAACUGACGCUCAGGUACGAAAGCGUGGGGAUCAAACAG
rnacentral:rRNA from 1 species